rnacentral:lncRNA from 1 species
UAAAAAGAUACUCUCAACACUUGUUUAGAUACUUGAUAGAGACUACUUAUUAGUUUUCUAAUAAAUAUAUAAAAAAUUUAAAAGACAGUAUGCUGUGAAAAUAAGGAAGCUGUCAGCCUUACAGUGGACUCAUCUGAGGACAGAUUAUCUAUGUAUCUCUAUCACUGGCACAUAGUAAUAAGCACUCCACUAAUUUAAAGGGUUACUGAAUGAAUCCCCCGCACGUUGUCAGGUUGACAGCAUUGAGAUAGUAGAAGUCUGGGCUAUUCAUUCAUUUGUUCAAUUAAUAUUUCAAACCACUAUGAGCCAGGCCCCUUGAGAGACACUGAAAAAUAAACAAAAAAGCAGCCUUUGCCUUUAAUUCUAGUAGGACAGGCAGAUAAAUGAACAGACUAUCAUAAUACAGGGAGAAAAACGUCAUAGUAUCAGUAUGCCUAAUGGACCAUGAGAAUAUAUUUGUUUAUAAAGGAAGGGAGUCAUGGCACCAAAGCAGAGAGGUAGUAGUGGAAAAGGAAACUGAAGCUCAUGGAGAAUUAAGUAAUUUAAAGAUCAAAUAACAAGUAAAUGGUUUGUCCCGAUUGGCUAAAGUUAUGAGAAACAAAACUGUAUUUUUAUCAGUCUUCUUUCAAAGUUAAUAAAUUAUGAAGACAACCCAUUUGCAAAGCAAUCAAAGAGAGCAAAAGGUUCUAGAAAACUCAGGAGUUAAAUGCUUCACUGUACCCAAUGACUAAGAAAAAAGGAACCUAGACUUUACUAAGCUCAAAGAAUUAAAAACCAACACUUAGCAGCUCUUCAGGUCAACUACAGUUCACAAUUCCCUGGAGGAAAACGCAGCCCAUAGUACAAGUCUGACAACACCUCUAGAUCUGCGGAAUCACCUAUUCUACAUAAAAGGUAAACGGCAAAAGAAGCAACUAUCUUCUUUAACACAUUGAAAGCUUUUUUUUUUUUUUUGGCUGCCAGAUUUUAUUUCCACACCAGUUAUCUUCUUCUUAACAAGUUACACCUAUAAUCUUAAAAUCGCCCAGUUAUUUUACAAACAUCUGUCCUCAAUCUUAAUCUUUAUUUGCCACUAUCCUAAUGUACUUGCUAAGUUUUACAGCAAAGCAGAAGUGAUGCAGAGAUGAAGUGUUAGUCAUAAAGACCAAUAAAGACAAAAAAUGAUGUGCUGUCUGCGGUCUUCCCCACACGGUCUGUUUACAAGUAACAUUACAAAUCUCUCAAGCUCCUCCCAGACACUAUGUUUAUAGAAGUGCUAGACUAUACACUUUUGGUCCACCCAUAUUUAAUGUCUUUGGUAAAAAUUACUUCAUUAAUUAAUAGAAAGGUUUGUACCUUGCUAUCUCUAGCUCAGUCUCAAGAAUUUUAAAUUCUAACCAAUGAUCCAAGUCACUCAGAGGUCAUUUGUGUUGCAGACCUACUGAAAAUUAGACUUACCUUUAAAUGGACUUUUUUUCCCAAAACUCAAGGAGUACUUUUUCUUCCAGCAUUAAGGUAGCUCAACAUGUUCCCCUUCUAAUAUUUAGCCAACAACAUAAGAAAACCUUGAUUCCUCUAACUUGGGCCAUAAGAAAGCAGUCUUUUCCCAAAAAGUUGUUUCAAAACUCUAACAAGAGUGUAUAGCUAUUUUCACACACUGAAAUAGCAGAUUUAUAUAUUUGUGGUUUACGAUACCACCAAUAUUCUCUAGACAAGGUUUAUUCUAUGGUUUCCAUUAAGGAAGAGAAUUCUAACUAAAUUAUUUUAGGCUCACUGCUCUCUAAUACUAUAAAGCAGUACUACAGCAUAAUGAAAAAAGCACAAAAUUGAGAAGGGCCUGACCAAUUCUUCCAGAUGGUAUUAACUGGCUGUGUGGCACUGGACAAGACACUUCAACCUCUUUGGCUCUCAAAUUUCCCUAUUAUUUGUGAAAUCAGAUUAGAAUCACUGUGAUCCAAGAUUGCUACUGGCUGAACAUUCUACACAAUGCAGAAGAUACAAGUCUUUUUUUCUAAUAAUCUAUGUUUCGUAAGCAUAAUACAAUUCAACCAUAAAAGAUACCUCAAUCAACACUACAGCCAGACUUACUUUUCCUUAGCAGUCUUUUUUUUUCUUUAAAUUGCUGACAGUUAAAAACUAUUUUGACCCAGAAUGGCAUACUACUAUAAUCUCUAUGCUUAAUUUCAACUCCUAAUAAAAUAGUGCCACACUACAAAUGGUUUCUUCACCUGUUCCCUAAUGAAGUUGAAAAUAAUUCCUUGGCCUUGAAUUUACAGAUACAUGUACAGGGCUGAUGAAAGCCAUCUGCUGGGAACUAUGACUUUCAUAUGAAAGGAAAAAACCAGAAGGAACUGCUUUCAUUUUCCUGGGAACCAGCUGCAGCUGAAUGAGUCCUAAUCCUGCUCCAGCUGGGACAAGCAGAAGGGUGAAGUUACUCCUGGUCUAAUUCAUUCGCUGCAGAUCCUUUGUGAAAUGACUCCACCCCUGAGUAGCCAAGUGGUAAAUAACUUUAUCAGAGUGAAGCUCUUAAUAAUUCCUAUACAUAAAUCAGAGCAUGAAAAGUAUUCAUUAUUAUAAUUUUAAGAAACACUCUCCAGGUCACCAGAAAAAAAUAAAUUUUUAAUUCUAUUUAAACCAGCAAACUCCGCACCUAGAUUUAGUCCUCUUACAUAGCUAAGAACCAAGUCAGUAUGACAAAGAUAUUUUCUCCAAAACUUUAAAUGCAAAGAGAAAAUAAAUCUAAUAGAUGUUAAGGAGAUUCUUACAGCUUCAGGAAGACUGAAUGAUAUAAAUUUUCUUUCCAGAUUCAUCACAGUUCCUGUUAUGUAUUUGCUCUCCUAGUAUUAAACAUAACAAAAAAGUAUUGGCCCACAAGUCCAGGAUGAACUAAAGAAAAAACAGGCAGCAAGG